GAUGAACGCUAGCGGCAGGCCUAACACAUGCAAGUCGAGGGGCAACACGGGUAGCAAUAUCUGGUGGCGACCGGCGCACGGGUGAGUAACGCGUAUGCAACCUACCCAUAACAAGGGGAUAGCUCCCGGAAACGGGGAUUAAUACCCUAUAGUAUCCUGAUGGCGCAUGCCAAUGGGAUUAAAACUACGGUGGUUAUGGAUGGGCAUGCGUGCCAUUAGUUAGUUGGCGGGGUAACGGCCCACCAAGACAGUGAUGGCUAGGGGGUCUAAAAGGAUGAUCCCCCACACUGGUACUGAGACACGGACCAGACUCCUACGGGAGGCUG
rnacentral:rRNA from 1 species